UGGGGCAUAUCAUCUUAUGAAUUCAACUAAGGCAAAGAGAAAAAAAAAUGGAAACAUGUUGGACAUGUGUUUAAUAAUUAACCAUGCUUACAGGCAAAAAAAUAAAGCUCCAAGUGAACACUUGAUUCAGAUGACAAAAUUCGAUGCUAAACUAGGCCAAGUGAAUACCAAAUAAAUUCAGAACGGGGUAGUACGAAUCAAAACAUAAUAGGUGGGUAGACGAAUAGAAACUAAGGUAGACACGAGACUUAAAACAUUCAUGACUUUAAACAAACUAGAACCUGAAAUUUAAACUUAUAUCACAACGAUUCGCAACCAGAUUCUUGCCAAUGAAGAGAAAAGACAAACGAUGCUACAGUAAAUAGGGGGUCGAGUUAAACGAGUAUGAGGGAAUUUCAGAUUAAG
rnacentral:lncRNA from 1 species